CCUACGGGCGGCAGCAGUGAGGAAUAUUGGUCAAUGGGCGCGAGCCUGCACCCGCCAAGUAGCGUGAAGGAUGACUGCCCUACGGGUUGUACACUUCUUUUAUAAAGGACUAAAGUGAGGCACGUGUGCCUUUUUGUAUGUACUUUAUGAAUAAGGAUCGGCUACCUCCGUGCCAGCAGCCGCGGUAAUAAGGAGGCUCCGAGCGUUAUCCGGAUUUAUUGGGUUUAAAGGGAGCGUAGAUGGGUUGUUAAGUCAGUUGUGAAAGUUUGCGGCUCAACCGUAAAAUUGCACUUGAUACUGGCAGUCUUGAGUACAGUGGAGGUAGGCGGAAUUCGUGGUGUAGCGGUGAAAUGCUUAGAUAUCACGAAGAACUCCGAUUGCGAAGGCAGCUUACUAAACUGCCACUGACAUUGAUGCUCGAAAGUGUGGGUAUCAAACAGGAUUAGAUACCCCUGUAGUC
rnacentral:rRNA from 1 species